rnacentral:rRNA from 1 species
UACGGGGGGAGCAAGCGUUGUUCGGAUUUACUGGGCGUAAAGGGCGCGUAGGCGGUCGUGACAAGUCACUUGUGAAAUCUCCGGGCUUAACUCGGAACGGUCAAGUGAUACUGUCGGACUAGAGUACAGAAGGGGCAACUGGAAUUCUCGGUGUAGCGGUGAAAUGCGUAGAUAUCGAGAGGAACACCGUGCGACGAAGGCGGGUUGCUGGGCUGAUACUGACGCUGAUGCGCGAAAGCCAGGGGAGCGAACGGG